rfam:Hordeum vulgare subsp. vulgare, WGS project CAJW01000000 data, contig: morex_contig_192795
AUGGACCUGAGGAUACUUUCCCCAAAUUAUCGACUAUGACUAUACAAUGCGUUUAUAAACAGGUUUUGCUCUAC